rnacentral:rRNA from 1 species
GACGAACGCUGGCGGCGUGCUUAACACAUGCAAGUCGAACGGAAAGGCCCUGCUUUUGUGGGGUGCUCGAGUGGCGAACGGGUGAGUAACACGUGAGUAACCUGCCCUUGACUUUGGGAUAACUUCAGGAAACUGCGGCUAAUAUCGGAUAGGAGCUCCUGCUGCAUGGUGGGCGUUGGAAAGUUUCGGCGGUUGUGGAUAGACUCGCGGCUUAUCAGCUUGUUGGUGGGGUAGUGGCUUACCAAGGCUUUGACGGGUAGCCGGCCUGGGAGGUUGACCAGCGACAAUGGGACUGCGGUACGGCGCAGAAGCCUACGUGAGGCAACAGUCGAGAAUAUUACGCAGUGAGCGGGAGCCUGAGGCGGCGACGCCGCGUGCGGGAUGACGGCCUUCGAGUGGUGAACAGCUUUCGACUGUACCGAAGAGGGAGUGACGGUAACGGGUAAAGAAGCAACGGCUAACUACGUG